rnacentral:rRNA from 1 species
CCCUUAGAUGUUCUGGGCCGCACGCGCGCUACACUGAUGCAUUCAACGAGCCUAUCCUUGACCGACAGGUCCGGGUAAUCUUUGAAUCUGCAUCGUGACGGGGAUAGAUUAUUGCAAUUAUUAAUCUUCAACGAGGAAUGCCUAGUAGGCGCAAGUCAUCAGCUUGCGUCGAUUACGUCCCUGCCCUUUGUACACACCGCCCGUCGCUCCUACCGAUUGGGUGUGCUGGUGAAAUGUUCGGAUCGGCCGUUUGUCGCGGUAUCCGCGUCAUGUGGCUGAGAAGUUCAUUAAACCCUCCCACCUAGAGGAAGGAGAAGUCGUAACA